GACCUACGGGAGGCAGCAGUAGGGAAUAUUGGACAAUGGGCGCAAGCCUGAUCCAGCAAUGCCGCGUGAGUGAUGAAGGCCUUAGGGUUGUAAAGCUCUUUUACCCGAGAUGAUAAUGACAGUAUCGGGAGAAUAAGCUCCGGCUAACUCCGUGCCAGCAGCCGCGGUAAUACGGAGGGAGCUAGCGUUGUUCGGAAUUACUGGGCGUAAAGCGCACGUAGGCGGCGAUUUAAGUCAGAGGUGAAAGCCCGGGGCUCAACCCCGGAACUGCCUUUGAGACUGGAUUGCUAGAAUCUUGGAGAGGCGAGUGGAAUUCCGAGUGUAGAGGUGAAAUUCGUAGAUAUUCGGAAGAACACCAGUGGCGAAGGCGGCUCGCUGGACAAGUAUUGACGCUGAGGUGCGAAAACGUGGGGAGCAAACAGGAUUAGAUACCCGGGUAGUC
rnacentral:rRNA from 1 species